rnacentral:rRNA from 1 species
AUUGAACGCUGGCGGCAGGCCUAACACAUGCAAGUCGAGCGGGGUUUUCGGACCUAGCGGCGGACGGGUGAGUAAUGCGUAGGAAGCUACCCGAUAGAGGGGGAUACCAGUUGGAAACGACUGUUAAUACCGCAUAAUGUCUACGGACCAAAGUGUGGGACCUUCGGGCCACAUGCUAUCGGAUGCGCCUACGUGGGAUUAGCUAGUUGGUGAGGUAAUGGCUCACCAAGGCGACGAUCCCUAGCUGGUUUGAGAGGAUGAGCAGCCACAAUGGAACUGAGACACGGUCCAGACUCCUACGGGAGGCAGCAGUGGGGAAUAUUGGACAAUGGGCGCAAGCCUGAUCCAGCCAUGCCGCGUGGGUGAAGAAGGCCUUCGGGUUGUAAAGCACUUUCAGUAGGGAGGAAGCGUUGUGUGUUAAUAGUACACAGCGUUGACGUUACCUACAGAAGAAGCACCGGCUAACUCUGUGCCAGCCGCCGCGGUAAAAC